ensembl:lncRNA
AUGCUCCCCAUGUACCCCACCCAGCUGCAUCUCCACGCCUGGCGAUUCCCCCUUGCCACAGCCCACCUGGUCAGCGAGAUGCGGGAGCGCUUCCCUGGCUGGCCCAGCCUGGCCCCGGAUGGUGCCCAGCUUCCUGGGGCCCAGCCCCCAUGCCUGGUUGACCACCACCGUGAUGGGCCUUCCAAGGUGAGGGACCCAGGAGAUCAAGACGGGCUGGAGAGGGAGGGCUGGGGGAGGAGGGACAAAGGGGGGCCCCAGAAGAUUUGCCAUGGGGGUGAGGGAUCCGCAGGGUGGUUGAGUGACAGUCCUGACCCCAGCAUCUCCCCCACUGACUCCUGUGUCCCUCCCUUGCAGCGGGCGGUGCCCACCACCCAGAACCCAGCGCUGGCUGGGCGCCACUUCUACCUGCAGGAGGAGGGGGCAUUGCACCAGCUCGAGCCCUAUGCCUCUGUCACUGCCCGCGACUUCCGGCUCUUCUCCCAGAAGGAGCUGCAGGGUCUCACCCACAAGAGGACAGGGGGCCUCCCCUUACCCUACCCCCCAUGUGACCGUGCCCCCUGCGGCUGCCUAUGGAGAUGCCUGCCAUGCCCCACCAGCGGGCGCUCAGCUUGGCACAUGAGUCCUUUGGGGUGCUGCAGUGGGCCCGAACUUGCCUGGGUCCCAGGCAACACCAGCCCACCGUGCACGCGCAGGCUGCCUUGCCUGAGGUCCUGGCGUUGCAUGGGAUGUACCGCACAGAGGCCCAGAGUUACGGGAGUGGCAAACCAGGCCCCAUGUGACCCCUAGCCCACAAACAUGCUGCACUGUCAGCCCCCACUGGGCUCUGGGUCUCCAUGACUGGGGCAGGGCUGGGCCCUGCCCCUCCCCCCAAACACAACCCCAGAGCACAGAGGCUGGGAUGGGGUCAGGGGCAUGUCACAGAGGCUGCAAGGCCAUGGAGAUUUGUUGUCUGGUAACCCAGCAGGUGUGGGUGGCACCAGGGAAUGGAGGGGGCAGGGGUGCCCUUGGAGAGAGACAAGGGAGCCAGAGGGCCCCAGUCCCUUCCCAGGUGUCCUGGCUCCCAGCCCCCGAUUUAACCCACUAGACCCCAACCCUUUCCCAGAGUUAGGAGAGAACCCAGGUGUCUGAGCCCCUGCCCCACUUGCCCCCAACACAAACCCACCGGGCCCUGGUUCUCUCCCAGAACUGAUAUGGAAUCAUGUCCUGUCUCCCAACUCACCUGCUGUCACCCACCAGACCCCACACCCUCCUGGAGCUGGACUGGCUAUGAACUCCCUACCAGUGCACUUUGGGGUAGCUUGGAUACCUAGGUUCUCUCCCUGGUUGCGAAGAGGGGGGAGGUGGGGAGGAGAGAGCAUACGUGCCGGAAGCCACCCCCAAGUAGCCUUGGCUGUUAGGCCACCUCCACCCUGUGCCCAGGCGGCCUUGGGUGCUAUAUGUGGGUGGAGAGGCUGGGGUGUGGGGCUGGGGAGGUCUGGAUAUAAGUGGGGGCUGGCCCUGUGGGUACAUAACAGGCAACGGGGACAGAGGGACACCACUUCCUGCCCAGCCCUGCCAGCAACAUGAGGCCCCUGCAGGUGAGUGCCCAGCCCAGGGCUCUGUGGGUGCACAGAGCGAGGGAAGGAGAGAAGGAGGAAGUCUCCUUGCAGGGGCAGGAUGGGUUACACUGGCCAUGCCUGCAGGAAGUUGGUGGGACAUGGCCAAUGGGCACCAGGGGUUUGAGUGUGUGUAGGGGGGACACAGAAGGGGCACUAUGAACAUGGGCAGGUUCCAGGUACCAGGUAGGGGCUGGGCAAGGCUGUGGGGGCACCUAAGGAGGUGAUUGGGGUUUGAGGGGUGUGUGGCUAGAAAGGAGGGAAGGACGGGCACAUGUGUGUGCAAGGUGGCAGGGCAUAAGGCAGGUACUAAUGAGCAUGUACCUGAGGGUUGUGUAUGUAUGUGUGUGUGGGGGUAAGGGACAACAUACAUGGGGCAAGUGUGCAUGGAGUACCCAUAACUUCACAGAGGGUACCAGGAAGGGGUGUGCACGUGGCUAGGAGGGGGCACAGGAGGUGGCUGCACACAGCCAUGGACAGUGGGNNNNNNNNNNNNNNNNNNNNNNNNNNNNNNNNNNNNNNNNNNNNNNNNNNNNNNNNNNNNNNNNNNNNNNNNNNNNNNNNNNNNNNNNNNNNNNNNNNNNACACACACACACACACACACACACACACACACACACACACACACACACACACACACACACACACACACACACGACGGCAGGAGCAGGGAGGGGUGUCCCUGGGGCUGCUAGAAGAGCUGUGCCCAAGGGUGGAUGUGAGCCCAGGGUUAAGCAUGGUACAGGGGUACAUAAGCUCAGGGGACUGGGCUAUAUCUCUGUGUUGGGGUCCUGGGAUCCCUCUGCUCUAACCCCACUCUCCCCUCCCUUCAGGUCUAGAUCCUCCAGGUAUAUGCUAGGAGGGAUGAGACUCCUCUCUAGCUUACUCUGUCAGCCAUACAGUUGAGGGCAAGCAAAACUCAGAGGCAUCUAAACCCCAAGCCUUUGGGCUUGGGGGUUUGCAUGUAGGAUGCCUGGUAAAGGAUUUGGAAGCAUCUGAAACCCUAGGCAGGGGUGAAGGAUGCUUGCCGGUAACAGGGCCACAUACAGUUCUUGAAUGAAUCGUGGAUUUGGAAUUGAUUUGACAGAUGUGACUUUGGACACAAAAAUUUUUCCUUAAAAAGACAAAUAAACAAACAAAAAGGUAUAUGCCA